rnacentral:rRNA from 1 species
ACCCCGGGAGGGGAGUGAAAUAGAACCUGAAACCGUGUGCCUACAACCGGUCAAAGCCCCUUAUGAGGGUGAUGACGUGCUUUUUGUAGAACGAGCCAACGAGUUACGGUAUGUAGCAAGGUUAAGUACUUAAGGUACGGAGCCGAAGGGAAACCGAGUCUUAAUAGGGCGACUAGUUGCAUGCCGUAGACCCGAAACCGGGUGACCUAUCCAUGGCCAGGUUGAAGCGAGGGUAAAACUUCGUGGAGGACCGAACCACGUUGCUGUUGAAAAAGCAUGGGAUGAGCUGUGGAUAGCGGAGAAAUUCCAAUCGAACUCGGAGAUAGCUGGUUCUCCCCGAAAUAGCUUUAGGGCUAGCGUCGGAUAUGUGUAGUGGAGGUAGAGCACUGAAUGGGCUAGGGGGCAUAUCGCUUACCGAACCUUAUCAAACUCCGAAUGCCAUAUACAUUAAGUCCGGCAGUCAGACUACGAAUGAUAAGAUCCGUGGUCAAAAGGGAAACAGCCCAGACCGUCAGCUAAGGUCCCAAAGUGUAAGUUAAGUGGAAAAGGAUGUGGGAUUUCUAAGACAACUAGGAUGUUGGCUUAGAAGCAGCCACUCAUUUAAAGAGUGCGUAAUAGCUCACUAGUCGAGAGAUCCUGCGCCGAAAAUGUACCGGGGCUAAACUUACCACCGAAGCUACGGAUUUGCAAGUAAUUGCAAGUGGUAGGGGAGCGUCGUAAUCGGGCUGAAGUCGUACCGGAAGGAGCGGUGGACUGAUUACGAGUGAGAAUGUUGGCAUUAGUAGCGAGAUGUAGGUGAGAAUCCUACAGGCCGAAUAUCUAAGGUUUCCUCAGGAAGGCUCGUCCGCUGAGGGUUAGUCGGGACCUAAGCCGAGGCCGAAAGGCGUAGGCGAUGGACAAUCGGUUGAUAUUCCGAUACCACUACCAUCGUUAUUAUCGAGGGUGUGACGGAGAAGGAUAGUGUGUGCUAGCGAUUGGAAAUGCUAGUCUAAGCGUUUAGGGAGUUACGGUAGGCAAAUCCGCUGUAACAAUUCUGAGGCGUGAUGGGGAAGGUCAUUAAGACCGAAGUACAUGAUUCCAUGCUUCCAAGAAAAGCAUCUAGAGAGAGAAGUAGCGCCCGUACCGCAAACCGACACAGGUAGAUGAGGAGAGAAUCCUAAGGCCGGCGGAAGAAUUGCAGUUAAGGAACUCGGCAAAUUGACCCCGUAACUUCGGGAGAAGGGGUGCCUGCGAGAGCGGGCCGCAGAGAAUAGGCCCAAGCAACUGUUUAGCAAAAACACAGGUCUCUGCUAAAGCGUAAGCUGAUGUAUAGGGGCUGACGCCUGCCCGGUGCUGGAAGGUUAAGGGGAACACUUAGCGCAAGCGAAGGUGUGAACUUAAGCCCCAGUAAACGGCGGCCGUAACUAUAACGGUCCUAAGGUAGCGAAAUUCCUUGUCAGGUAAGUUCUGACCCGCACGAAUGGCGUAAUGACUUGGGCACUGUCUCAACUGCAAAUCCGGCGAAGUUGUAGUGCGAGUGAAGAUGCUCGCUACCCGCGAUUGGACGGAAAGACCCCGUAGAGCUUUACUGUAGCUUAGCAUUGAAUUCCGGUAUUGUCUGUACAGGAUAGGUGGGAGACUGGGAAACUAGGGCGUCAGCCUUAGUGGAGUCAACCUUGGGAUACCACCCUGACAGUACUGGGGUUCUAACAGGACGCCAUGAAGCUGGUGACUGGACAUUGUUAGGUGGGCAGUUUGACUGGGGCGGUCGCCUCCUAAAAAGUAACGGAGGCGCCCAAAGGUUCCCUCAGAACGGUCGGAAAUCGUUCGUAGAGUGCAAAGGCAGAAGGGAGCCUGACUGCGAGACCUACAAGUCGAGCAGGGACGAAAGUCGGGCUUA